rnacentral:rRNA from 1 species
CAUACCUAUUCGAAGGGAUAGGUUCGGUUUGGCCGGAUUUCACGCAGGUGUUGCAUGGCUGUCGUCAGCUCGUGUCGUGAGAUGUUGGGUUAAGUCCCGCAACGAGCGCAACCCUCAUCCUUAGUUACCAUCAGGUUAUGCUGGGGACUUUAAGGAAACUGCCAGUGAUAAACUGGAGGAAGGUGGGGAUGAUGUCAAGUCAUCAUGGCCCUUAUGGAGUGGGCUACACACGUGCUACAAUGGUGAUUACAAUGGGCUGCAAGGUCGCAAGGCUGAGCUAAUCCUAAAAAAUCAUCUCAGUUCGGAUUGUUCUCUGCAACUCGAGAGCAUGAAGUUGGAAUCGCUAGUAAUCGUGGAUCAGCAUGCCACGGUGAAUACGUUCUCGGGUCUUGUACACACUGCCCGUCACGCCAUGGGAAUUGGUUUCACUCGAAGCU